rnacentral:rRNA from 1 species
CGGCGUGCCUAACACAUGCAAGUCGAACGGAGUUAUCCGCCGAAUUGAUGGUAGCUUGCUACAGGAUUUUCAUUGGGGCAACUUAGUGGCGGACGGGUGAGUAACGCGUGGGUAACCUGCCUUGUACAGGGGGAUAACAGUUAGAAAUGACUGCUAAUACCGCAUAACCCGCUAAGGUCGCAUGACCUAGACGGAAAAGAUUUAUCGGUACAAGAUGGACCCGCGUCUGAUUAGCUAGUUGGUGAGGUAACGGCCCACCAAGGCGACGAUCAGUAGCCGGCCUGAGAGGGUGACCGGCCACAUUGGGACUGAGACACGGCCCAAACUCCUACGGGAGGCAGCAGUGGGGAAUAUUGCACAAUGGGCGCAAGCCUGAUGCAGCAACGCCGCGUGAGGGAAGACGGUUUUCGGAUUGUAAACCUUUGUCUUUGGUGAAGAAAAAAAUGACGGUAGCCAAGGAGGAAGCCACGGCUAACUACGUG